UGGGGAAUUUUGGACAAUGGGCGAAAGCCUGAUCCAGCAAUGCCGCGUGAGUGAAGAAGUCCUUCGGGUUGUAAAGCUCUUUUGUCAGGGAAGAAACGGUGAAAGCUAAUAUCUUUUGCUAAUGACGGUACCUGAAGAAUACGCACCGGCUAACUACGUGCCAGCAGCCGCGGUAAUACGUAGGGUGCAAGCGUUAAUCGGAAUUACCGUGCGUAAAGCGUGCGCAGGCGGUUUUGUAAGUCUGAUGUGAAAUCCCCGGGCUCAACCUGGGAAUUGCAUUGGGGACUGCCAGGCUAGAGUCUGGCAGAGGGGAGUAGAAUUCCAAGUGUAGCAGUGAAAUGAGUAGAUAUAUGGAAGAACACCGAUGGCGAAGGCAGCCCCCUGGGACAAGAUUGACGCUGAUGCACGAAAGCGUGGGGAGCGAACA
rnacentral:rRNA from 1 species